rnacentral:rRNA from 1 species
AGGACGAACGCUGGCGGCGUGCUUAACACAUGCAAGUCGAGCGGAGACAUGUAACGGAAAGCUUCGGCUGGAAGAUAUAGUGUUUAGCGGCGGACGGGUGAGUAACGCGUGAGCAACCUGUCCUUCACAGGGGGAUAAGAUACCGAAAGGUGUUCUAAUACCGCAUAAGACCACAAUGUCACAUGGCGAAGGGGUCAAAGGAGCAAUCCGGUGAAGGGUGGGCUCGCGUCCGAUUAGAUAGUUGGUGAGGUAACGGCCCACCAAGUCGACGAUCGGUAGCCGACCUGAGAGGGUGAUCGGCCACAUUGGGACUGAGACACGGCCCAGACUCCUACGGGAGGCAGCAGUGGGGAAUAUUGGGCAAUGGGGGAAACCCUGACCCAGCAACGCCGCGUGGAGGAAGAAGGUCUUCGGAUCGUAAACUCCUGUCCUAAGAGACGAGCAGGAGACGGUAUCUUAGGAGGAAGCCCCGGCUAACUACGUGCCAGCCGCUGC